rnacentral:rRNA from 1 species
UGAGGAAUAUUGGUCAAUGGCCGGGAGGCUGAACCAGCCAAGUCGCGUGAGGGAAGACGGUCCUAUGGAUUGUAAACCUCUUUUGUCAGGGAGCAAAAACUGCCACGCGUGGCAGGAUGAGAGUACCUGAAAGAAAAACGCAUCGGCUAA